CCUACAUCAACGCGGAGAAUGUAUCAGCUGCAGAUCUUAGCCUGGGGCGAAGCUCUUCCACCUCCAGGUUGCAGUGGAGCAUUUCAAGGGCUGGAAGAUCCCAGAAAACCUGACCAGCGUCCAUGCAUACACCAAGGCACUUUUCAGCCGCGAAUCUUUUGUGAAGACUAAGCCAGCCAAGGAGCACCUGAUUGCGGGAUGGGCACCCAAGGUGAACGCGUAAGCGCCCAUCCCCCUUGUGCUUUGGUGCUACCUUGUGGACCCCAUGCGUUUAUCUGAUCAGUCGCUAUCAGUGGUGUGGGUAGGCGUAGCGUCUGUAGUUUGAACCCAUGAUUGGACUGGAAUAAUGCAAACACCAUGUUCCGAGUACUUCUGGUUGUUGCAAGUGUGCGCGCCUUUUAUAUGGACCUUCCUUGCCGGUUUGGUUCGAGACCAUGAGCAUCUCUUGGUCUUAUGUAUGAGAGUGUGCAUACUGUAA